rnacentral:rRNA from 1 species
CUGCCCCUGUCAGGGGGACAACCCGCCGAAAGGCGGGCUAAACCCGCGUACAUGCCACCGGGGCAUCCCGGAGGCAGGAAAGGCUUCGGCCGGACAGGGAUGGGCAUGCGGCGCAUUAGGCAGUAGGCGGGGUAACGGCCCACCUAACCGACGAUGCGUAGGGGUUCUGAGAGGAAGGUCCCCCACACUGGUACUGAGACACGGACCAGACUCCUACGGGAGGCAGCAGUGAGGAAUAUUGGUCAAUGGUCGGGAGACUGAACCAGCCAAGCCGCGUGAGGGGUGAAGGUACAGAGUAUCGUAAACCUCUUUUGUCAGGGAACAAAGGCGGGGACGUGUCCCCGGAUGAGUGUACCUGAAGAAAAAGCAUCGGCUAACUCCGUGCCAGCAGCCGCGGUAAUACGGAGGAUGCGAGCGUUAUCCGGAUUUAUUGGGUUUAAAGGGUGCGCAGGCGGUCUGUUAAGUCAGCGGUCAAAGCCCGGGGCUCAACCCCGGCCCGCCGUUGAAACUGGCAGUCUCGAGUUGGAGAGAAGUAUGCGGAAUGCGCGGUGUAGCGGUGAAAUGCAUAGAUAUCGCGCAGAACUCCGAUUGCGAAGGCAGCAUGCCGGCUCCACACUGACGCUGAGGCACGAAAGCGUGGGUAUCGAACAGGAUUAGAUACCCUGGUAGUCCACGCAGUAAAC